ACUCAAAUGAAUAGACGGGGGCCCGCACAAGCGGUGGAGCAUGUGGUUUAAUUCGAUGCAACGCGAAGAACCUUACCAAGGCUUGACAUCCCAUUGACCGGUGUAGAGAUAUACCUUUCCUUCGGGACAAUGGUGACAGGUGGUGCAUGGUUGUCGUCAGCUCGUGUCGUGAGAUGUUGGGUUAAGUCCCGCAACGAGCGCAACCCUUAUUUUUAGUAGCUAACAGGUAAUGCUGAGCACUCUGGAGAGACUGCCGUGGAUAACACGGAGGAAGGUGGGGACGACGUCAAAUCAUCAUGCCCUAUAUGCCUUGGGCAACACACGUGCUACAAUGGCGGUAACAAAGUGAAGCAAGCAGGUAACUGUAAGCAAAGCACAAAAAAGCCGUCUCAGUUCGGAUUGGGGUCUGCAACUCGACCUUAUGAAGUUGGAAUCGCUAGUAAUCGCGAAUCAGCAUGUCGCGGUGAAUACGUUCCCGGGCCUUGUACACACCGCCCGU
rnacentral:rRNA from 1 species